rnacentral:misc_RNA from 1 species
UUUUUUUUUUUUUUUUUAUAACUUGGAAGAAAACAUAUGGGCUAUGGUGAAAAAUACGUCUGUUUUCUCUCCAUUUUCUAUUGAUUCAAUUUAAAAUCCAAUUCCUUCCAGAAGUUCUUAGUUUCAGACCCAUGUUAUUGGAAUGUGUGUAAGUUCAUUCUGCAUGGAACUUAUAUAGCAUAACAAUGUCUUUGAAAAAAAAAAUAUUUGCAUAUAUUAGAACUACUGUACAAAAUUUCAUAUAAACCAGCGAAAGGCGCAUGGGGCUCCAAGUGUAGCGCCUUAUCCAGGGAAAAGCGAGGGACCUCACCCGGGCGCAGCUAGGCGUUGCGAGGCGCCAGGCGCGCCUAGGCGUGCCGGAGAGAGGUCAGGUAAAGCUUUUAAAAAUUG